CCUACGGGUGGCAGCAGUGAGGAAUAUUGGUCAAUGGGCGUAAGCCUGAACCAGCCAAGUCGCGUGAGGGAUGAAGGUUCUAUGGAUCGUAAACCUCUUUUAUAAGGGAAUAAAGUGCGGUACGUGUCCCAUUUUGUAUGUACCUUAUGAAUCAGGAUCGGCUAACUCCGUGCCAGCAGCCGCGGUAAUACGGAGGAUCCGAGCGUUAUCCGGGUUUAUUGGGUUUAAAGGGGGCGUAGGCGGCCUUUGAAGUCAGCGGUGAAAGUCUGUGGCGCAACCAUAGGAUUGCCGUUGAAACUGGGAGGCUGGAGUAUGUGUGAGGCAGGCGGAAUGCGUGGUGUAGCGGUGAAAUGCUUAGAUAUCACGCAGAACCCCGAUUGCGAAGGCAGCCUGCCAAGCCAUGACUGACGCUGAUGCACGAAAGCGUGGGGAUCAAACAGGAUUAGAUACCCCGGUAGUC
rnacentral:rRNA from 1 species